rfam:Dipodomys ordii contig_73514, whole genome shotgun sequence.
GGGAAGGUGGCUCAAUGGUAGAGCACUAGCCUUGCAUGCAUGAAACCCUGGGUUCGAUUCCUCACCACCACA